UAGGGAAUCUUCCGCAAUGGGCGAAAGCCUGACGGAGCAACGCCGCGUGAGUGAAGAAGGUCUUCGGAUCGUAAAACUCUGUUAUUAGGGAAGUACAAAUGCGUAAGUAACUAUGCACGUCUUGACGGUACCUAAUCAGAAAGCCACGGUUAACUACGUGCCAGCAGCCGCGGUAAUACGUAGGUGGCAAGCGUUAUCCGGAAUUAUUGGGCGUAAAGCGCGCGUAGGCGGUUUUUUAAGUCUGAUGUGAAAGCCCACGGCUCAACCGUGGAGGGUCAUUGGAAACUGGAAAACUUGAGUGCAGAAGAGGAAAGUGGAAUUCCAUGUGUAGCGGUGAAAUGCGCAGAGAUAUGGAGGAACACCAGUGGCGAAGGCGACUUUCUGGUCUGUAACUGACGCUAAUGUGCGAAAGCGUGGGGAUCAAACAGG
rnacentral:rRNA from 1 species